UACGUAGGGUGCGAGCGUUAAUCGGAAUUACUGGGCGUAAAGCGUGCGCAGGCGGUUUGGCAAGUCAGAUGUGAAAUCCCCGAGCUCAACUUGGGAACUGCGUUUGAAACUGCCAGACUAGAAUAUGUCAGAGGGGGGUAGAAUUCCACGUGUAGCAGUGAAAUGCGUAGAGAUGUGGAGGAAUACCAAUGGCGAAGGCAGCCCCCUGGGAUAAUAUUGACGCUCAUGCACGAAAGCGUGGGGAGCAAACAGG
rnacentral:rRNA from 2 species